CGGCGCGCGAAAGCGCCGCCCAGAGCGCGUCGCGCCUCUGACUGGGUCAGAGGCUUCUGAGGAGCGGGAAGGGACGUUGAGAGCAUUGUGACACUGUCACGCAGUCAUGAUGUCACUGGGGUGAAGCAUUCCAGUCUGUGACCUGAUGACACUCGGGGUGCCAGAGGAGGUCCAGUCUCCACAAGCCAGUCUGCCUUUGGAGUGCUGGGGUUGUCCGUGUGUGCACUGCAUUCAGGUUCAGAGCAAACUUACUGAGACCUGACUUCGAGGCCCUGAGUUUGCCAGAACUCCAGAGAGAAGCUUGAAACCAAAACUGUCUCCAGAGCAUGUUUUAAGAAACGAACUGUAGGAGCGAGAGAUGUGGCUCAGUGGUUAGAGCACUUGUUGCUUUUGCAGAAGACCCAAGUUUGGUUCCCAGUAUCUACCUGGUGGCUCACAGCCAUCUAUAACUCCAUCUUCAGGGACCUGAUUCCACUUCUGUCCUCUAUGGACUUCAGACAUCCACACAGUGCACAUACAUACAGGCAAAACACUCAAACACAUAAAUAAAAUUAAAUAAAAAACUAUUUAUUUAGCUGGGUGGGUAGUGGCUUGUGCCUUUAAUCCCAGCUCUUGGGAUGAGUUUGAGGCUGCCCCGAUCUACAGAACAAGUACAUAAAGAAACCCUGUCUUGACACCCCCCCC
rnacentral:sRNA from 1 species